rnacentral:rRNA from 1 species
UACAGAGGGGGCGAGCGUUAUUCGGAAUUAUUGGGCGUAAAGAGCUUGUAGGCGGUCUGUCGCGUCUGCUGUAAAAAUCCGGGGCUCAACCCCGGACUUGCAGUGGGUACGGGCAGACUAGAGUGUGGUAGGGGAGACUGGAAUUCCUGGUGUAGCGGUGAAAUGCGCAGAUAUCAGGAGGAACACCGGUGGCGAAGGCGGGUCUCUGGGCAACAACUGACGCUGAGGAGCGAAAGCGUGGGGAGCGAACAGG